UGAAACAAUCAAAACAAGGUAGUUUUGUGCACAAUGCAGGAGCUGUGUAACCCAUGAUCAUAGGAUACUGUGGAUGAUAAAAUUUACACAGCUUCAGGGAGAGUUGAACCACAUGAAUUCAUGGAGGAAAAAUCCAUCUUGAGUUGUACUACUGGCAGUAUCUUGCUCAUGUGGACAGUGAAGAAAAUCUAAGAACUGGGGUACUUGUACUCUCCUUAAGCUGCUCCCAGCAAAGUGAGUUCCUGGCAAAGAAAACCACCAGGAAGAUGAGCAGUCAAGCCUGCUGGCUGUUGAAAGUGCAAAUUACUCAAAAUGGAACAGCAGCCCAGAAGACAAUACUGGCCUUCACGCGUUUUCCAGUCUGCUGUCAGUGACUUCAGUGCAUCCCCUCAGAGAUGUGUAGCAGGUGCCACAGGAAAGCAGCAGAUCAUGCAGAGCAAGAAGCUUAUGAGCCAAUGAGGAAUUUUGACACAAAAUAGUGCAUUUUGGAGAAGUGAUUUGGCCACUCAGGGUCUUGCAAACAUUUAUUCUGCAUGAUGCUGCCUUCCUUAGCAGGACUGUGUGAUGUGAAGAAUGGGUGUGCCCAAGGACCUGCAUAAUCCCCUGGUAAUUUAUGCAGAAGCAGGGGCUGGCUUGUCCAUUCCAGUGAGA